UCUUCCGUAAGGAAGCAGUCUCGCCUGACAAAUUAAACAGGCAACGGGGGUUGCGUUCGUUUCCCCACUUAAGGGAACAGCUCAAGCCACGAACUGACGACGACCAUGCAUCACCUGCCAUACACCCUCGAAGGCUGACUCGGUUUCCCGAGCCGUGCAGUAUGGUUUCAAACCCUGGUAAGGUUUUUCGGUCGACAUCGAAUUAAGCCACAUAAUCCACCGCUUGUGCGAAUUCCCGUCUAUUCCUUUGAGUUUUAGCCUUGCGGCCGUACUACCCAGGCGGAUCACUUAACGCGUUAGCUUCGCCACAGAGAGGGUCGAUACUCCCUAUAGCCAGUGAUCAUCGUUUAGGGCGUAGACUA
rnacentral:misc_RNA from 1 species